rnacentral:rRNA from 1 species
GGAAUAUUGGUCAAUGGGCGAGAGCCUGAACCAGCCAUGCCGCGUGUAGGAUGACGGCCUUCUGGGUUGUAAACUACUUUUCUACAGGAAGAAAAAGACUAUGCGUAGUCAAUUGACGGUACUGUAGGAAUACUCCCCGGCUACCUCCGUUCCCCCAGCCGCGGUAAUACGGAGGGUGCGAGCGGUGUCCGGAUUUAUUGGGUUUAAAGGGUGCGUAGGCGGCUCUUUAAGUCAGUGGUGAAAGCCCGCAGCUUAACUGUGGAACUGCCAUUGAUACUGGAGAGCUUGAGUACGGUUGAAGUAGGCGGAAUUUAUGGUGUAGCGGUGAAAUGCAUAGAUACCAUAAAGAACACCGAUAGCGUAGGCAGCUUACUAAGCCGUAACUGACGCUGAGGCACGAAAGCAUGGGGAGCGA